rnacentral:rRNA from 1 species
CCUACGGGUGGCAGCAGUAGGGAAUGUUGCGCAAUGGGCGAAAGCCUGACGCAGCAACGCCGCGUGAUUGAGAAGGUCUUCGGGGUGUAAAGAUCUGUUAGUGGGGACGAAACUUGACGGUACCUACAGAGGAAGCACCGGCUAACUCCGUGCCAGCAGCCGCGGUAAUACGGGGGGUGCAAGCGUUGUCCGGAAUCAUUGGGCGUAAAGAGAUCGUAGGCGGCACGUAAAGUCUGGUGGUAAAGGCCGAGGCUCAACUUCUGAACGGCAGUGGAUACUGUCUAGCUAGAGUGCGGUAGAGGUAAAGGGAAUUCCUGGUGUAGCGGUGAAAUGCUUAGAUAUCAGGAGGAACAUCGGUGGCGUAGGCGCUUUACUGGGCCGUAAUUGACGCUGAGGAACGAAAGCCUGGGUAGCAAAUAGGAUUAGAUACCCGUGUAGUC